UUUUUUUUUUUUUUUUUUUUUUUUUUUUUACACAGUGGCAGGCCCUGAACCUAGGGCCUGGUAUGUGUUUUGUCAACACUACAGCUGCUAACACUACUGGCCCAGGAGUGACUCUACUAUACUGCCAAUAUAGAUGCACACCACCACCCUCAGCUCAGGGGCAGGGCCAAUGCAACCUCCAGUGAAUGAAGCCUGCAGCAACCGUCUGUGUGAUGGCAGUUGUGUUCUAGAGCAAUGGGCAUUAACCCAUAGCCUCACACACGCCACGGAAGUGCUUCAGCACUUAGUACACCUCAGGCCUCAAGCUUAUUUUGGUAGCCUGUUAGGGAAUUCAGAACUGAGUGUAAUCACAACUACCAUGAAACUACAAGUAACUUGUAUCAAAAUAUAAAGCUAAAAUUACCUUUUGUGCUUCAUCUACUUUAGAAACCAAAAGCUCUGAUUUGCUGAGCGUUGGCUUCAGAGGCAGAAGAAGAAUGAAGGAACAGAAUGGGGCCCUUGAUUUUUCACUGUUGUUCUUCUCAUAAAGGUCAAAGUGAAAGGGACUUCCUUUUCUGGCCAGUAGGAUCUAGCUACUGCCCAGAUCAGUUCCUCAGACCAGAUAAAUGACUCUGCUGUCUACAUGGUGCCAUCCAGCUUCAGCAUGAAUAACUCCACUCUGUUCUGUUGGGCCUAGUGGAGGGCAGUCCAAACCAACACCCUUCGCAAAAUUUCACCAGAACCUCUUGAGAGCUUUUUAAAGCCAUGUAAGACUCCAUUCCACUCAGGAUUUCUGGCUCAGUGUUUCCAGGGUUGGGACCCGAGAAGCUGUAUUUUUCAUCAAUUUCCCAGGUAGUGGUUUAAGUGGAAAAACAACUGUCUAAGAUUUACCUAUUUAUAGCAAAUACAAGGCACAGAUUCUAACCAGCAAAACCAGAAUUGGGAAACUACCUAAUAUUUGUCUAUUUGUAACCAAUUUGGAACAAUCGAUUUAGAGACCCUCUUUUGGGACAAUCUUACCCAUAUAGCCCAUGUGGACAUACUCUGGUCUCAAAAAUAGCCUGGUGUUGGAUCAGUCUUUUGCCACCCACCACAUAUGGCAGGACUUAAGACUUGGUUUAAGUGCCCUCUACAAUUAUGUACUACAUCAGCAUUAUUAAAUGCCAAGGUUACCUUCAAAACUGGAAGUGCACAAGUAUACAUUGUUAAAGCUAGAUGCUUAAGUGGGACAGUGGUCAUCCCACUAUUAAAUGUUUUCAAUUCACUGUAAAAGUAACAGCAAUUGUCAAAUGUUAUGGCAUAUGUCUGUAAUUUCAGAGUGAAGGCUGAGGGAAUAAUACUUUAGUGAAUUGAAGGCCACCUAGGAUAGAACUGUCUCUAAGCACGUAUUAAUGCACAAAGGCCAUUCGUGAGUAAACAGAAUCUCUGCUUUGUCUACUUUUAACUGGCUAGAAUAACUGAGGGUCAGCUCUGAAGCAGUUACUGCUUAAUGACUGAGGCAAGGGCACCGAUGGUGCCUGCCUUUCAGAACACUAGUAGAUACUAUCUUAGAGUCAGGGUACAGCCCACUUCUUCAUGCUCAAACAACUCUCCAGAGCCUUCUGGCCCUGAGCAAGAGGCAGCUCUCCUUUCAGAUCACUGGAGC
ensembl:lncRNA